ACUGCCUGAUGGAGGGGGAUAACUACUGGAAACGGUAGCUAAUACCGCAUAACGUCGCAAGACCAAAGAGGGGGACCUUCGGGCCUCUUGCCAUCGGAUGUGCCCAGAUGGGAUUAGCUAGUAGGUGGGGUAACGGCUCACCUAGGCGACGAUCCCUAGCUGGUCUGAGAGGAUGACCAGCCACACUGGAACUGAGACACGGUCCAG
rnacentral:rRNA from 1 species